rnacentral:snRNA from 1 species
GUGCUCGCUUUGGCAGCACAUAUGCUAAAAUUGGAACCGUACGGAGAAGAUUAGCAUGGCCUCUGUGCAAGGAUGACACGCAAAUUCGUGAAGCGUUCCAUAAANNN